AAACGACUCUCGGCAACGGAUAUCUCGGCUCUCGCAUCGAUGAAGAACGUAGCGAAAUGCGAUACUUGGUGUGAAUUGCAGAAUCCCGUGAACCAUCGAGUCUUUGAACGCAAGUUGCGCCCCAAGCCUUCGGGCCGAGGGCACGCCUGCCUGGGUGUCACGC
rnacentral:rRNA from 1 species